rnacentral:rRNA from 1 species
CAAAGCACUAAGAUCUUUUGAUUAAAACUUAAAGAGCAUGGCGGCCCCAAAAAAGUUCAGGGGAACUUACCGAGUAAUAGACAACCCACACGUCACCUCUCUUGGUUUACAGUUUGUAUACCGCCGUCUAAGUACUGCUUAUGGUAGUGCUAAAAUAAAAAGCUAAUAGGACAGGCCAUGGUGCAGCUAAUAAUUAAGUUUCAGGCGAGUUACAAUAAAACUUUUUUUUUCAAAAAUUUUUAAAUUUAUUUAUGAAGUGGACUUGAAAGUAAAAUUUAAAAGAAAUAUAAUUUGAAUUUAUUAUUUUGUGGUGC